ACUACUUAUUCUCCCAUUGCUUUUUUAAUUUAUACUUUUUAGAUUGACAUCUAUUCUGUCUGACUGUGUAUCUGUAUUUAUAAGUUCAGAGCUUGUGUUGAUCCCUGAAAACAGCAGUUGUCUUCCAGUGGGGUUGAUGGUCAACGGACAACAGCUUGAGAUUCACACAUGCACUGAACAGGUUUUGCCCCAUGCUGCUCCUCUGUGGGGAUUUUAAGAGAUCCAUGUGCAAAAAGCACAACUCACCACAGGGUCUACGAGCCUCCGGGACGUGAUCUGCUGCUGGAACAGUUGCUGAUUAUUUCAUCUGUGGACAUCUGAUCUGAUUUUGAGCUGGAAUUUCCCACUGAUUCAUAUGGACAGAUGUUGGUGGAACUGGUUAACAAUUGAACUAGUCUGGAGGUAGAGAACGAAGAUAGAGCAUCUGUGAAGUUCUGCUUUGGACAGAAAAGAGUCUUAAAAGUGUUAAAGAAUAGUAAAUUGCACAAACACAGAAGAAAUGCUGUUUGUAACAUGCUGGAUUGUAUUCUUCUGAAAGCACUGAUCUUGUUGUAUUUAGGUGAUAUUUUUAUCCCCCAACGGAAGUGUCUUUUUCUAUGACUUUUAAAAAGAGUUGAGAUUGUCGUUAUGCUGAUAUUUAAUAUGCCUCUUAAUUUAUUGUUGAUAAAUGAAAAAUUGGUCACCUACAGUGGUUGUUGGUGAAACUUAAAUUCUCAGUAUCUCUCAUCUCUCAGACCUCAAUGUGUUAUGAAGCACUAUUAUUUUGCUUUGUCUAAUUUUAGGCUUUUUAACCGGAACAGUUUACUACAAUAAAAAUGUAUGC